rnacentral:misc_RNA from 1 species
AAUUCUCAACCUCACCAACUUUGUUGUGUGUAGGCUUGGAUGUGGGGGUUGCAGGUCCACAAUCGUGGUCUGCUCCUCUGAAAUGUAUUAGUGGGUUAAGCCCCUAAUCUAUUGGUGUGAUAAUUAUCUACGCCGUGGAUUGGAUGGCUAUUAUAGACCUGCUUCUAACCGUCCUUCACAGGACAACACUUGACAA